AUAAAAUAAAAAAUUAAAAAUCUAAAUUUUAAAUUCAAAAAUUAAAAUACAAAUUUGAAUUUUAAAAUUUAAAUUUUAAAUUUUGAAAUUUAAAAUUUGGAAUUUAAAUUUGAAAUCUAAAAUUUAAAAGUUAAAAAUUUAAAAAUUUAAAAUUUAAAUUUAAAAUUUUAAAUUUUAAAUUUAAAAAUUAAAAAUUGAAAUUUAAAAUUUAAAAUUUGAAAUUGAAAAUCUAAAAUUUAAAAUCAAAUUUAAAAUUUAAAUUUUAAAUUUGAAGUUUAAAAUUUUAAAAUUUAAAAUUUAAAAUUUAAAAGUUGACAAUUCAAAAUUUAAAUUUUUUUUUUUUAAAUGAUGUAUUGAAAGAGUUUCGGGAGUUAGAGGGGUAAAAUUGUCAUUUUACAUAAUAUGUAAUAUUAUCGGUUUUCAGUAAUGCAAGAUACACGACCCCCCUCUCGUUAAUAUUUUCGGUGUAAUUCUGCUCGAUUUAUAAUGCUACAUUAACGACUAGAUUACAUAGCGGAUGAACCAAACACAGUAAUUCUGGCAUGAUUGCUUGUAAUCCUGUCAGGAUAAUUCGAACCAAACACACCCUAAGCUUAAUCAAUA
rnacentral:lncRNA from 1 species